UACGUAGGGUCCGAGCGUUAAUCGGAAUUACUGGGCGUAAAGCGUGCGCAGGCGGUCUGCAAAGACAGGUGUGAAAUCCCCGGGCUUAACCUGGGAACUGCGCUUGUAACUAGCAGGCUAGAGUGCGGCAGAGGGGGGUGGAAUUCCACGUGUAGCAGUGAAAUGCGUAGAGAUGUGGAGGAACACCGAUGGCGAAGGCAGCCCCCUGGGUCGACACUGACGCUCAUGCACAAAAGCGUGGGGAGCAAACAGG
rnacentral:rRNA from 1 species